rnacentral:tRNA from 1 species
UGCUUGCAUAGUUUAGUGGUAGAACAACGGUCUCCAAAACUGUUAGCGUGGGUUCGAUUCCUACUGCAAGUGU